CCCUCUUUUCCCUACCCGAUUCCCAGGCAGCCAGUGAUUUCCUUUCUUUCACUAGAUGAUAGUUUGUACUUCCUAGAUUUCAUGUAAAUGAAAUCAUAAAGUAUGAUGUUUUUUAGGCUUGCCUCUUUCAUGAAUCAUAGUUAUUUUUUGUAUAUCAACAGUUUAUUCCUUUUUAUUGCUAAAUAGCAUUUCAUUACAUGAGCAGAUAACAGUUUAUUUAUUCAUCUGUGGAUGAGCCUUUGGUUUGUUUCUUUUUUCAGCUAUCAUAAAAGGACUAUGGAUAUUUCUGAUAUAAGCCCUAGAAGUUGCCAAGAUAAUUUCCAAAUUAGUUUCAACAUUAUACAUUCACCAGAAAUGUAUGAGAGUUCCAGCUCUUCCAUAUCCUGGCCAAAUUUGCCUUAACUUUCUCUAGGAAUGAUCUUACAUCCAUGGAUGUGACUGUCUGAGCAAGUGGAAGAAGCCAUGGUAUAACACAGAUUAAAUUAUCUCAGUGAUGAUGGUAAUCAUUUCCAAAAGAAGGUAGUGGUCCUCUUCCCUGAACUGUAAGAACUGUGAUUUCAUGCACUCCAAGUUGAGAACCCCUGCAGGAUCCUGAGUUGACUAAAUCCUAAUCAGUACGGCAGUCAAAGAUUCCGUAGUGCCUGGCCAUUGUAUGGAAAGAUCAGUCUUCUCAAGGUUAUUAAAAUCUCCCAUAAUAUAUUCACUGUGUACUUACAUGAAUACAAUGAUGUCAACUAAAAUACAAUUUAUUUCAAAUUUUUAAUUUUGUGUUGUCUAUUAAGUAUGCUUACAUUUUUAUGUCAACAUGGUUUCACUUUUUAUGUUAGAAAAUGCUAAGCAAUAAAUGCUACAGCUGAAUGUUGAAAGGUAUUAGUGUUGCUUGAAGCUCACCAAAUAAACACCCAGAUACUCCACGGGUAUAGCCCAGUCCUGACCUUCAGUGGAUAGGAAACUAUUCAGUGAAAUGUAAUGCACAGUACUGGAUUAUGGUCAGUGGAAUUUUUCAAAAUAAAUUAUCCAUAUCUGUAUUACUUGAUUCGGCUUGACUCCUCUUUUAACUAAAGUAUGUUUUAACUGUUUUUUUUCUUUUUUCUUUUUUUUUUUUUUGAGACAGAGACUCCCUCUGUCGCACAGGCUGGAAUGGAGUGCAGUGGCACGAUCGCGGCUCACUGCAAGCUCCGCCUCCGGGGUUCACACCAUUCUCCUGCCUCAGCCUCCCAAGUAGCUGGGACUACAGGAGCCCGCCACUACACCCGGCUAAUUUUUUGUAUUUUUAGUGGAGACGGGGUUUCACCGGGUUAGCCAGGAUGGUCUCGAUCUCCCGACCUCGUCAUCUGCCCGCCUCAGCCUCCCAAAGUGCUGGGAUUACAGGCGUGAGCCACCACGCCCGGCCCAACUAUUUUUUAUUAAUUACUGGCAAACUCCUAUUUUCCAGCCACUUCUGUUAUUCUUAUAAAACACUUUUACACUAUUUACAAAUGUGCAUUAAUACAAAAUUAUUGGUUUAUGCGAUUUCUCAAAAAAAUUUCAUCAUGUACCUCAAAGCUUAAGGUAGUUGGAGGUUCAAGUUCCAAUUAGAACUUAGUGCAAAUCCCUUCUGCAGAUACAAGUAUAGUAAAAUAAUUAUUGCCUGGGAAUUUCAGAAACCUUUUAUAGCUCCUGCUAUUGUCUUCUUGCCAAAAUGAACUAUCUGCUCAUUUAUUCUAAAUUAGAAUUGUGCAGUUAACAAAGAUCAAGAAGAUUAAAAACAUGGUGUGAAGCCAGUUUAGCAUAACAUUUAGUAUUUCCUUUUGUAAGUACUGCUCUCCUGUGCUUAGUUAAGUAUUAUUUAAGAUACUAUUGGAUCUUUAUAGAAUGUUCCCAUGAUUAAAAUUUAAUUUUGACACUACAACAUGUACAAAGUUCUGUCAAGUAUUAUUAAUGAUUAAACAAUGAGGAAAUAUGUUAUUACAGUGUGUUCAAUCUUUAAUGUCCAUUAAAUCCACUUGGUAAGUGUAAGUGGAAAUGAUACUAACUACAAUUCUCAUUCUCUAGUCCUUUACACAUUAUAAAGAAAUGAGGAUCUUACAAUACCAAUCAAUAAGUGAUGAAAAGAAACUGUGCGUGGUGGCUGAAAUUUGAAUGGGCCUUUCACAGAAAUCUUAUUAUUCUCCUACUAGGGACAGUGCAGAACAGACAUUCCACUUCCCGCUUUGUAAGCAAAUGCCUAGGCGUGUAGCACUGUGAUUAUAUUUCUAUCUUCGGCCUUAGAUCAUCUUCAGCAUCAGAGAGUUCUGAAAAUCCCAUUAAGAAGUCAUUUCAAGGAAACAUAAAUGUUCUUUGAAAUAAUCUUCAAUGCUUUUCUAAUUUUUUAUAUUAAUGUCUCCUGCAACCCUCUUCCCAGAAUGGGUAAUAAAUCCUCUUAUAUUUAUGCACAGAGAGAUAUGUAUAUACAGUUUAUUUACUUCCUGUUUUAAUUGCUGUCCUAACUAAAUACAACACAUGUAAUGCAAAUGUUUGCCAAACUUUGUAUGGGUUGUACUUAACAUGUAUAACACUGGCAUUUUAGCUGAACUGAUCGUGACAAAGCAUUCCUGAAUAAAAAUUACUUUUUUAGAAAGGAAACAGUUCUGUUGCAAAAUCAAGUUUUUACUUUUUCUUAUGGUUUUGUAGCCUAACGAAAAAUGAAUACAUGAUGAAAUGUAUCCCAAUUUCCUUCCACUUUUAAUUGAUCUUCAUAGGCUUGAGGGAAUUUGUCUUUAUAUUCAUCUCCCAGGGAGAAUUUCCACCAAAUUAUUUGAGUGAGUUAUCAUCAUUCAACUUUGCCUGGC
rnacentral:lncRNA from 10 species